UACGGAGGGGACUAGCGUUGUUCGGAAUUACUGGGCGUAAAGCGCACGUAGGCGGAUUUGUAAGUCAGGGGUGAAAUCCCGGGGCUCAACCUCGGAACUGCCUUUGAUACUGCAAAUCUCGAGUCCGGAAGAGGUGAGUGGAAUUCCUAGUGUAGAGGUGAAAAUUCGUAGAUAUUAGGAAAGAACACCAGUGGCGAAGGCGGCUCACUGGUCCGGUACUGACGCUGAGGCACGAAAAGCGUGGGGGAGCAAACAGGG
rnacentral:rRNA from 1 species